CGCCCUUAGAGUUUGAUCCUGGCUCAGGAUGAACGCUAGCGACAGGCUUAACACAUGCAAGUCGAGGGGCAGCGGGGAGGUAGCAAUACUUCCGCCGGCGACCGGCGCACGGGUGAGUAACACGUAUGGAACCUGCCCGUAGCAGGGGGAUAAGCGGAAGAAAUUCCGUCUAAUACCGCGUAAUAACUCCGAGGGGCAUCCCUUGGGGUUUAAAGGGUAACACCGGCUACGGAUGGCCAUGCGGCGCAUUAGCUAGUUGGCGGGGCAACGGCCCACCAAGGCGACGAUGCGUAGGGGUUCUGAGAGGAAGGUCCCCCACACUGGUACUGAGACACGGACCAGACUCCUACGGGAGGCAGCAGUGAGGAAUAUUGGUCAAUGGGCGCGAGCCUGAACCAGCCAAGUCGCGUGAGGGAAGACGGUCCUAUGGAUUGUAAACCUCUUUUGUCGGGGAGCAAAAGACGCCACGCGUGGCGUUCCGAGAGUACCCGAAGAAAAAGCAUCGGCUAACUCCGUGCCAGCAGCCGCGGUAAUACGGAGGAUGCGAGCGUUAUCCGGAUUUAUUGGGUUUAAAGGGUGCGCAGGCGGAAGAUCAAGUCAGCGGUAAAAUUGAGGGGCUCAACCUCUUCGAGCCGUUGAAACUGGUUUUCUUGAGUGAGCGAGAAGUAUGCGGAAUGCGUGGUGUAGCGGUGAAAUGCAUAGAUAUCACGCAGAACUCCGAUUGCGAAGGCAGCAUACCGGCGCUCAACUGACGCUCAUGCACGAAAGUGUGGGUAUCGAACAGGAUUAGAUACCCUGGGUAGUCCACACAGUAAACGAUGAAUACUAAUUGUUCGGGGAGAAUGAUCCCUGAGUGAUACAGCGAAAGCGUUAAGUAUUCCACCUGGGGAGUACGCCGGCAACGGUGAAACUCAAAGGAAUUGACGGGGGCCCGCACAAGCGGAGGAACAUGUGGUUUAAUUCGAUGAUACGCGAGGAACCUUACCCGGGCUCAAACGACACAGGAAUACUUUUGAAAGGAGGUAGCUCUACGGAGCCUGUGUCGAGGUGCUGCAUGGUUGUCGUCAGCUCGUGCCGUGAGGUGUCGGCUUAAGUGCCAUAACGAGCGCAACCCCCAUCGCCAGUUACCAGCAAGUCAAGUUGGGGACUCUGGCGAGACUGCCGGCGCAAGCUGUGAGGAAGGCGGGGAUGACGUCAAAUCAGCACGGCCCUUACGUCCGGGGCGACACACGUGUUACAAUGGCAGGUACAGAGAGAAGCAAUGCGGCGACGCAAAGCGGAACUUGAAAGCCUGUCUCAGUUCGGAUUGGAGUCUGCAACUCGACUCCAUGAAGCUGGAUUCGCUAGUAAUCGCGCAUCAGCCAUGGCGCGGUGAAUACGUUCCCGGGCCUUGUACACACCGCCCGUCAAGCCAUGGAAGCCGGGAGUGCCUGAAGUGUGCAACCGCAAGGAGCGCCCUAAGGUAAAACUGGUGACUGGGGCUAAGUCGUAACAAGGUAGCCGUAAA
rnacentral:rRNA from 1 species